UGUAACUUUCUCAUUAUUCACGAUUCAUUCAGGACUAUCUGUAGUCAUGGUACCAUCUACAUUAAUAUAGAAGUGUUUAGAAUCAUAUUCUAUUCUUAUUUACAAUGAAAGUGACUCCACAAUUACACAGUACAUUAUUUACCAUUUCGUUUCUAUUGGGCACAAAAUAAUCUGAGACACAACCAAAACAAACAGCCAAUGCAUCCAACAAGUUUGCUUGAUGUACUCAUUGCGUGCAAUGAAUAUGGGACCAAAUACUUUUUACUACUUUAAUACACAUAAGUGAAUUUGUCGCAAUACUUUUGGUCCCCUAUAAUGGGGGACUUUGUACAAACAAUGCUGUAAUUUCUAAACGGUUCACCAGAUAUGGAUGAAAAUACCUUCAAGUUAAAGCUGACUGUCUGUACUUCAUGGUCAUUGUAUCAUUUAAAAUCCAAAGUGCUAGAGUACAGAGCCAACACAACAAAACAGGUUUUAUUGUCCCAAUACCUUUGGAGCUCACUGUAGGUCCAACAGAUGAAAGGGGAAGAUGCAAGCUGUCUAUUGUAAUACCUUGAUGUUCCUAAACAGACUUCCUACAGUCACUGACACCUUUCUUUCAAUGGGUGUCACACAUAGGCCUAAUGAGUCCAAACUUUUCACAGAAGCUGCAUGGACAAAAAUAAUGUCCAAUAUAAAGAAAAACGUGAAUGUCUGUUGACAGUUUUACUGCUCAUGAUAUUUUAAUAGAACAUUGGUUAUAGGCUACUAGGCUAUUGCGUUCCUACGCUGGCAAAAUCGAUGCCGAAACCAAUUGUGUUACCACUAAGACCAGCUUUUGGUGAGUGUUAAAUAUCACCAGUAUCGCUGCUUGAAAUUGGCACAUUGGCACACGUUUUUAAGGACACAUCUCAAAUAUUUCCACCCCUCCCACCUCAGCGCAAGCAAGCUGAUAUAAGACAGGUAAAUUACCAACCCUGGCGCCAGGUUUGGAGAAUAGUAGAGCGCAGGCUUUUACAAGUCGAAAUUGCCAAAGAGCGUGCGUUGGACACUAGCACUGCCUUAACACAGGCCGAAAAUAGGGCCCCUAGUUUAGCAGGUAAAAAAACUACGGUUUUCUUGACUCCCCUAGUGUAGCUCAAGAUUAAGAGACAUACGCAUAAUGCCAACUAUAUGGAUGAAAGAGAGAACGCAGAGAAACAGGUGAGCUGUUCUAAGAUAACAAAAAAAAAAAAAAAAAGGAAUAUGUGAAUGCACUUGCCACACCUGCAUUAAACGUCAUAUGGGAUCAGCCCCAAUGCCACAUUACAACUUACUCACCUGCCUAACAGUAUAUAUAUGUCGUACAUAUAAGCCUAUAGUGCCAACCCAACGGGACUACGCAGAAGAACGGGUGAAUGCACAGAAACAGGUGAGCUCAUCUUACAUAUUUGGUUGUAGAAUGCAAAAUGUUAAAUGUCAGUGAAUACAAAUUGGAGAGGAUAAUGAUAUUCAUGGAUAUGAUGAUGAUGAUGAUAAUCAUUUUUUCUCCUAGAUUGGAAUGGACAAGGAGUUUGUGACAAUGGGAAAUCAAAUAAAGGUUAUUGUGCUGCUUCUGUUCAUGAUGAGCAUUAAUAUCCCUCCAGCCACCACAUCAACAACCACUGGCAUUAAUAUCCCUCCAGCCACCACAUCAACAACCACUGG